rnacentral:tRNA from 1 species
GCUCCCAUGGCGUAGUGGUCACUGCGCUCGCCUUGCACGCGGGAGACCCGGGUUUCCUUCCCGGUGGGGUCA